ACCAGGAAGGAAGUUGAAGCAGAGAAAAUUAAUUAACUUUUUUUUUUUUUUAGACAGUCUCAAAGUUGCCCAGGCUGGGCUUGUUCUCACAGUCCCCCUCCUCAGCCUCCAGAGUGCUGGGAUCGCAGGCCUGUACCACCACUCCCGGCUCUUCAAUGACUUUCUCAAGAUCUGUCUGCUGGUCAGAGCUGGGCAAAGGCUCCCAUCAGAGAAAGCUAAUGUGAGUUGCAGGUCCUCAGGGGACAGCACACUGCCAAGCACAAGUUUUUAAUCAGCGGGCGCUGUCAGGAGUGAACCUGAAGUCCUGCCCUCUUCCCUCCACGCGGCUCCUUCAUGGUGAUGAGCGCAGUCACUGGCUCUGACACCCUGAGACUCCUGCCUCUCAAAUCAGAAAUGACCAUGACAAGGAAACGUUUUGAACUGAUUCAAGAAAACAAGGCAGCCACAACAACACGUCCAAAGACACUCACGAAGGAGGACUUCCAGACCUGCUUCAGAAGGUGACAAGAAUGACAGCAUAGGUACGUUCGAAGCAAGAGGCAGUAUUUUGAGGGCAACUAAGGACAAAGUGUCUUUUACUGUAAUAAAUGUGUUAAUUAUAAUAUUCACC
rnacentral:lncRNA from 1 species